UACAGAGGUGGCAAGCGUUGUUCGGAAUUACUGGGCGUAAAGGGCGCGUAGGCGGCCUUCUAAGUCAGACGUGAAAUCCCCCGGCUUAACCUGGGAACUGCGUCUGAUACUGGAGGGCUCGAGUGCGGGAGAGGGAUGUGGAAUUCCAGGUGUAGCGGUGAAAUGCGUAGAUAUCUGGAGGAACACCGGUGGCGAAGGCGGCAUCCUGGACCGACACUGACGCUGAGGCGCGAAAGCUAGGGUAGCAAACAGG
rnacentral:rRNA from 1 species